UACGUAGGGGGCAAGCGUUGUCCGGAAUCAUUGGGCGUAAAGAGCGUGUAGGCGGUCCGGUCAGUCGGUUGUGAAAGUCAAGGGCUCAACCCUUGAAUGCCGGCCGAUACUGCCGGGCUAGAGUCCGGAAGAGGUGAGUGGAAUUCCUGGUGUAGCGGUGAAAUGCGUAGAUAUCUGGAGGAACCCCGGUGGCGAAGGCGGCAUCCUGGACCGACACUGACACUGAGGAGCGAAAGCCAGGGGAGCAAACGGG
rnacentral:rRNA from 1 species